rnacentral:rRNA from 1 species
GGUUAAGCGACUAAGCGUACACGGUGGAUGCCCUGGCAGUCAGAGGCGAUGAAGGGCGUGCUAAUCUGCGAUAAGCGCCGGUAAGGUGAUAUGAACCGUUAUAACCGGCGAUACCCGAAUGGGGAAACCCAGUGUGACUCGUCACACUAUCAUUAACUGAAUCCAUAGGUUAAUGAGGCGAACCGGGGGAACUGAAACAUCUAAGUACCCCGAGGAAAAGAAAUCAACCGAGAUUCCCCCAGUAGCGGCGAGCGAACGGGGAGGAGCCCAGAGCCUGAAUCAGCAUGUGUGUUAGUGGAAGCGUCUGGAAAGGCGCGCGAUACAGGGUGACAGCCCCGUACACAAAAGCGCAUGUGCUGUGAGCUCGAUGAGUAGGGCGGGACACGUGGUAUCCUGUCUGAAUAUGGGGGGACCAUCCUCCAAGGCUAAAUACUCCUGACUGACCGAUAGUGAACCAGUACCGUGAGGGAAAGGCGAAAAGAACCCCGGCGAGGGGAGUGAAAAAGAACCUGAAACCGUGUACGUACAAGCAGUGGGAGCACAGGUUUACCUGUGUGACUGCGUACCUUUUGUAUAAUGGGUCAGCGACUUAUAUUCUGUAGCAAGGUUAACCGAAUAGGGGAGCCGGAGGGAAACCGAGUCUUAAUUGGGCGUUAAGUUGCAGGGUAUAGACCCGAAACCCGGUGAUCUAGCCAUGGGCAGGUUGAAGGUUGGGUAACACUAACUGGAGGACCGAACCGACUAAUGUUGAAAAAUUAGCGGAUGACCUGUGGCUGGGGGUGAAAGGCCAAUCAAACCGGGAGAUAGCUGGUUCUCCCCGAAAGCUAUUUAGGUAGCGCCUCGUGAAUUCAUCUCCGGGGGUAGAGCACUGUUUCGGCUAGGGGGCCAUCCCGGCUUACCAACCCGAUGCAAACUGCGAAUACCGGAGAAUGUUAUCACGGGAGACACACGGCGGGUGCUAACGUCCGUCGUGAAGAGGGAAACAACCCAGACCGCCAGCUAAGGUCCCAAAGUCAUGGUUAAGUGGGAAACGAUGUGGGAAGGCCCAGACAGCCAGGAUGUUGGCUUAGAAGCAGCCAUCAUUUAAAGAAAGCGUAAUAGCUCACUGGUCGAGUCGGCCUGCGCGGAAGAUGUAACGGGGCUAAACCAUGCACCGAAGCUGCGGCAGCGAACGUAUCACUUAAAGCGAUUCAGCGGGUUACGAUUGACGGAGCGAAGCGACGUCAAAGCGUAUACAAAGUCGAGUCGGUUUAAGGAUACGUUCGUUGGGUAGGGGAGCGUUCUGUAAGCCUGUGAAGGUGUGUCGUGAGGCAUGCUGGAGGUAUCAGAAGUGCGAAUGCUGACAUAAGUAACGAUAAAGCGGGUGAAAAGCCCGCUCGCCGGAAGACCAAGGGUUCCUGUCCAACGUUAAUCGGGGCAGGGUGAGUCGACCCCUAAGGCGAGGCCGAAAGGCGUAGUCGAUGGGAAACGGGUUAAUAUUCCCGUACUUGGUGUUACUGCGAAGGGGGGACGGAGAAGGCUAUGUUGGCCGGGCGACGGUUGUCCCGGUUUAAGCGUGUAGGUGUGUGUUCCAGGUAAAUCCGGUUCACUUUAACACUGAGGCGUGAUGACGAGGCACUACGGUGCUGAAGCAACAAAUGCCCUGCUUCCAGGAAAAGCCUCUAAGCAUCAGGUAACAUCAAAUCGUACCCCAAACCGACACAGGUGGUCAGGUAGAGAAUACCAAGGCGCUUGAGAGAACUCGGGUGAAGGAACUAGGCAAAAUGGUGCCGUAACUUCGGGAGAAGGCACGCUGACAUGUAGGUGAAGUGAUUUACUCAUGGAGCUGAAGUCAGUCGAAGAUACCAGCUGGCUGCAACUGUUUAUUAAAAACACAGCACUGUGCAAACACGAAAGUGGACGUAUACGGUGUGACGCCUGCCCGGUGCCGGAAGGUUAAUUGAUGGGGUCAGCGCAAGCGAAGCUCCUGAUCGAAGCCCCGGUAAACGGCGGCCGUAACUAUAACGGUCCUAAGGUAGCGAAAUUCCUUGUCGGGUAAGUUCCGACCUGCACGAAUGGCGUAAUGAUGGCCAGGCUGUCUCCACCCGAGACUCAGUGAAAUUGAACUCGCUGUGAAGAUGCAGUGUACCCGCGGCAAGACGGAAAGACCCCGUGAACCUUUACUAUAGCUUGACACUGAACAUUGAGCCUUGAUGUGUAGGAUAGGUGGGAGGCUUUGAAGUGUGGACGCCAGUCUGCAUGGAGCCGACCUUGAAAUACCACCCUUUAAUGUUUGAUGUUCUAACGUGGACCCGUGAUCCGGGUUGCGGACAGUGUCUGGUGGGUAGUUUGACUGGGGCGGUCUCCUCCUAAAGAGUAACGGAGGAGCACGAAGGUUGGCUAAUCCUGGUCGGACAUCAGGAGGUUAGUGCAAUGGCAUAAGCCAGCUUGACUGCGAGCGUGACGGCGCGAGCAGGUGCGAAAGCAGGUCAUAGUGAUCCGGUGGUUCUGAAUGGAAGGGCCAUCGCUCAACGGAUAAAAGGUACUCCGGGGAUAACAGGCUGAUACCGCCCAAGAGUUCAUAUCGACGGCGGUGUUUGGCACCUCGAUGUCGGCUCAUCACAUCCUGGGGCUGAAGUAGGUCCCAAGGGUAUGGCUGUUCGCCAUUUAAAGUGGUACGCGAGCUGGGUUUAGAACGUCGUGAGACAGUUCGGUCCCUAUCUGCCGUGGGCGCUGGAGAACUGAGGGGGGCUGCUCCUAGUACGAGAGGACCGGAGUGGACGCAUCACUGGUGUUCGGGUUGUCAUGCCAAUGGCACUGCCCGGUAGCUAAAUGCGGAAGAGAUAAGUGCUGAAAGCAUCUAAGCACGAAACUUGCCCCGAGAUGAGUUCUCCCUGAGACUUAGAGUCUCCUGAAGGAACGUUGAAGACGACGACGUUGAUAGGCCGGGUGUGUAAGCGCAGCGAUGCGUUGAGCUAACCGGUACUAAUGAACCGUGAGGCUUAACCUU